AUAUUUACCUGGCGUAGAGGCUACCGUGAUCAAUAAGGCGGUUCCUCCGGAGUGAGGCCCUCCCAUUGCACUACGGCUGGGCUGACCCCUGCGAUUAUCCCCAUAAAAUAAUUAACUAGAAAGAAGUGUCAACUCUGUGUUAAAUCGUGGAAACACGAU